rnacentral:snoRNA from 1 species
GCUAUGAUGAUUAAUAUACAGCUUUAACGCCAGUUCUGCUUCAGAAAAUUCUUGAUUGAUAGAGCUGAUAUGUAUCUGAGC